rnacentral:rRNA from 1 species
GACGAACCGUGCGAACGUUGUUCGGAAUCACUGGGCUUAAAGGGCGCGUAGGCGGGUCACCAAGUCCGGGGUGAAAUCUUUCGGCUCAACCGGAAAAUUGCCUUGGAUACUGGUGGUCUUGAGGGAGGUAGGGGCAUGUGGAACUUCCGGUGGAGCGGUGAAAUGCGUUGAUAUCGGAAGGAACGCCGGUGGCGAAAGCGACGUGCUGGAUAUCUUCUGACGCUGAGGCGCGAAAGCUAGGGGAGCAAACGGG